CGGGAAGGCUGGAGGAGCUCAGACCCCUCCGGGGCUCAAACAGGACUGGGGCCAUGAGCCUUUGGAGGAGCCUGGUGGGAGGAGGGACGAGUGGGUCAAGAGCUUCCUCCCUAACACAGAAACACCCAGGUCCAAGUGUGUGUUCUUUGCAACUUUUUUUCCUUUAUAGAAUCAUACAAUGUUAAGAAGUUGGAAUAGACCUUAAAGAUCAUUCUGUCCCGAGCCCUCUUGCCACAAACAGGGACACCUCCCACUAGAACAGACUGCUCAAGGCUUUAUCCAAACUGGCUUUAAACACUUCCAGGGCCGGGACAACUACAGCCUCCCUGGGCAACAUGUUCCAGUGUCGCACCACCCCCACAGUGGAAGAAGCCUUUGGUUUUGGGUCAUAUUUUGCAGCCCCUGCCUGCGUUUGCUGCCGGGUGAGAUGAAGGUGUCUGAGAGAGUGCGAGCUGGUGACGGACCCUGGGCAUCGCACCCGCCAUCAGGAGAGCGGGAGGGAGCUGUGCAGCCGGGGCUGGCACACCAAAGGAGGCCUGAAACUGCCACAUGAAUAUUGUCUGUUCCCUUAAGUCCAGCCCGUCACGGAAUCCCCGCGGCCUUUGAGCCGCGCUCCGCCGCACCCGCCCCGCCGGGGGCUCCCUGAGGGGGCGCGGCGCCAUCUUGGCGGGCGGGCCGGGGCGAGGCCUCGGCGCAGGGCGACACCUGCCGGCGGCGGUGGGCAGCGCGGCCGCUCCCGCUGUGCCCGCGCACCGAGCUCCGCGCACCGAGUCCCGUGCCAUUCGAGCUCCGCGCACCGAGCUCCGCGCACCGAGUCCCGUGCCAGCCGAGCUCCGCGCACCGAGUCCCGUGCCAGCCGAGCUCCGUGCCAACCGAGCUCUGCGCACCGAGUCCUGUGCCAGCCGAGCUCCGCGCACGGAGUCCCGUGCCAGCCGAGCUCCGCGCACCGAGCCCCGUGCCAUUCGAGCUCCGCGCAUCGAGUCCCGGGCCAGCCGAGCUCCGCGCACCGAGCCCCGUGCCAGCCGAGCUCGGUACUCAGCCAGCUCCGGCCCCUCUUCCGACCCUCGGACAGCCUGGAUGUGUGGCCACAGAUGCCAGGAGAAGAUGAGGUGAGAGGAGCCCAAGUGGCUUCUUCAGGGAUCCUUGCCUUCCAAGGGGCGAUGAGGAACAGCUGUAUCUGGCCCCAGGGAAGAUCACAACUCCUGGUACUCAUAAAAUCCAAGUCCCCACCACGUUGCCUUCCACUCUGGCUCUUCUGCAGAAAUCCCCAGGAGUAGAAACCUCAUUGCGCAGUCCUCAGGGAUUCCUACAGUUUUAUUUGCUCCUCCAGGGAAAAGCGAGGAAGUCUGAGCCACGAAGGAAGGUGUGGAUCACCCCGCCCAGCUCCUGCUGACCUAGAGGUCCCUCUGCUCUUGCUGUCCUCAGCCUGUCCCCUUGCACAGCCGAGGGGCUGGCUGCACACCAGCCGGAGGGGGAGCACAAAGGCUCUCCCAUCCCGGCCGCUGGAAAGCAGCAUGGGAACCGCUGCCCAGCGCGGAUCUGUUCCUCAUUAUCCGCCCCGGCUGCCUGAGCCCGGCUCCGUCCCGCCCGCUCGCAUCCCGCCGGCCGAGCGGCUCCUGCGCACCUGGGGUCCGCAUCCCCCUGCGGAUAACCCAGCGGGAAAACGAGUUAUUCCCUUCCCACCAGGCAGAGGAGGCUUCCAGGGAGCAGGGAUCGCUGCUUCAGGUGCGAAGAGCGGGAAGGAAAACACAGAAUUCAGUGUUUGGUCUGAUUGCAGGUGGGAUGGACGGAUGGACAUGAGGAGGCAGGAGCAAGGAACAGACUGAUGUGUCUCCGAAAUAUUUGUACCAGAUACAACCAAACUGAACACCUCUUCUGAAUUCUUCUGCAUUUGCCUUCCUGCUGCUCUCCAUGAGAACAUGAGCGUGGCCAAAGCCUCUGCCAUGCUUUGUGUGAGAGGUGAGGAGCUGGCUCCUAGUCACCCACUUCCCCCUGCUUCUGCCUGUAUAGAGCAGUGUGAAAACCUCCCAAGAGGGUGUCAGAAGUGCUCCAGAAACAGAGCAGGAUCAGCAACGACACAUGUAAGUCAACUGCACCCUUGCUGCAGUGGAGAAUGUGAAGCUGGCAGGUCCAAGAAAAUUAUUAUUUCUUGGAUUUGGUGCCUGUGAGACACAAGUGGGUGCUAGUUCCAAUUGGGGGCUUCCCAAAAGAACAUAUAUAUUUAUACAUAUAUACAUGUAUAUAUGUCAGAGAGAACCAGCUGUAAGAAGAUAAGGCAGAGGAGAGCUACCAACAAGGUGGCACACAGAAGCCCAACUAUUCCCAGAGAAGCACUUGGAAGAACAAGACAACCUGCCCCAGGGGAAAUAUUUACUGAGCACAAGGAGAAAUUAAUUCUGUGCAAGACUGCUGUAGCUGUGGUGUGGCUUUGGGAUGGGGACAGUUGACACCUCCAUCCUCAGGGACAUUCCAAAUCCAGUGGGACAGGGCUCCGAGCUACCUGGUCUAGCUUUGCUACCAGCCCUGCAUGGAGCUGGGAUUGGACCAUGGGCUUCCCAAGCCCCUUCCAGUCUGAAAUUUACCUGAUGCUCCAAUGUGCAUUGUGCAAAAGCAAUGUGGUGAUUUUAAGACUCACUUGUGAGAUGGCCAAGAUCAAUCCCUCUUCCACACAGCUGAUGUCAGAUCUGCCUUACAUCCCCUGCUGACUUCACAAGUUUUGCUACCACAGAGGAACUGGAGGAGCUGAGUGCUGGAGAAAGCAAAUGCCUGUGGGAAAAAAGUGUGGGUUUAAUGGCAGGCUUUAAACAGAAGCCUGGGUGCAAAAUGAUAUGUCUGUGAUAGUCUGCCCUGGGAUGGGGUUGCUGACAGUCACAGUUGGAGGGUUGUGUGUUCUGGGUUAGAGUCUGACAAGCAGCUCCUGUGGCUGUGCCUUACUCUGUCCUGGAGAAGCAGAAGUUUGGGCACAUGCAUUCGUGGUUUGGCCCACUCUUCAUGUUUUUCCACUGAAGCACUUCAGUAUUUUUAGGCUGAAAGAGAGGACUCUGCUAUGCUGGAAGGACCAGAGCAGUUCUGUGCAGGCAGGACACUCCAAGGUGAAGUACAAGACUAAAAACCAGCCAGGAGCCACCAUCCCUGCUCACAACAAGGUGGUGUUGAGGGUGGGAAGAAGGGGCUCCAAGCUGCUGGCUGGUGGCAUGGAGAGCCUGCACACACAUCACUGCUAGGCUCAGAUGUCUGGAUGAGAGAGCAGCAACCAGCCCCAGCAUUUCCUGAAGCUGAGAUGUCUGCUUUCCCUCCUCUGAGGACCUGGAGGACGCAGACCCACCUCUUCCAGGAAAGCACCUGGCCCACACAGCCUGGUGUGCUGCCAAGGUGAUUGUUGCAGGCGAUGCUGGCACUGGGGCCCAGCACACAGAGCACAGCUCAGCCAGCAGCGUUGGUGGUGGAUGCAAGGCAGAUGGGGAAUGUCACAAGAACCAAGAGCUUCCAGAGGGCCCAGUGCAAGCUAACAGGGCCAGAAGCUGUAUUUGACCCUGCCAAAAAGAACCAGGGGUUGAUGGUGGAUGCCAGGUUCAAUACAAGCCAAACAUCUGCCUUGUGAAUCAAGGAAACCACAUUUAAUUUCCUUCAGGAAAAGCAGAGCCCAGGAGAUCAAAGGGAAG
rnacentral:lncRNA from 1 species